rnacentral:rRNA from 1 species
UGGGGAAUAUUGCACAAUGGGCGCAAGCCUGAUGCAGCCAUGCCGCGUGUAUGAAGAAGGCCUUCGGGUUGUAAAGUACUUUCAGCGGGGAGGAAGGCGAUGUGGUUAAUAACCGCGUCGAUUGACGUUACCCGCAGAAGAAGCACCGGCUAACUCCGUGCCAGCAGCCGCGGUAAUACGGAGGGUGCAAGCGUUAAUCGGAAUUACUGGGCGUAAAGCGCACGCAGGCGGUCUGUCAAAUCGGAUGUGAAAUCCCCGGGCUCAACCUGGGAACUGCAUCCGAAACUGGCAGGCUUGAGUCUCGUAGAGGGGGGUAGAAUUCCAGGUGUAGCGGUGAAAUGCGUAGAGAUCUGGAGGAAUACCGGUGGCGAAGGCGGCCCCCUGGACGAAGACUGACGCUCAGGUGCGAAAGCGUGGGGAGCAAACA